CUGGGUGGAUAGUGGCGAACGGGUGAGUAACACGUGAGUAACCUGCCCUUAACUCUGGGAUAAGCCUGGGAAACUGGGUCUAAUACCGGAUAGGAGCGYCYACCGCAUGGUGGGUGUUGGAAAGAUUUAUCGGUUUUGGAUGGACUCGCGGCCUAUCAGCUUGUUGGUGAGGUAAUGGCUCACCAAGGCGACGACGGGUAGCCGGCCUGAGAGGGUGACCGGCCACACUGGGACUGAGACACGGCCCAGACUCCUACGGGAGGCAGCAGUGGGGAAUAUUGCACAAUGGGCGCAAGCCUGAUGCAGCGACGCCGCGUGAGGGAUGACGGCCUUCGGGUUGUAAACCUCUUUCAGUAGGGAAGAAGCGAAAGUGACGGUACCUGCAGAAGAAGCACCGGCUAACUACGUGCCAGCAGCCGCGGUAAUACGUAGGGUGCGAGCGUUAUCCGGAAUUAUUGGGCGUAAAGAGCUCGUAGGCGGUUUGUCGCGUCUGUCGUGAAAGUCCGGGGCUUAACCCCGGAUCUGCGGUGGGUACGGGCAGACUAGAGUGCAGUAGGGGAGACUGGAAUUCCUGGUGUAGCGGUGGAAUGCGCAGAUAUCAGGAGGAACACCGAUGGCGAAGGCAGGUCUCUGGGCUGUAACUGACGCUGAGGAGCGAAAGCAUGGGGAGCGAACAGGAUUAGAUACCCUGGUAGUCCAUGCCGUAAACGUUGGGCACUAGGUGUGGGGACCAUUCCACGGUUUCCGCGCCGCAGCUAACGCAUUAAGUGCCCCGCCUGGGGAGUACGGCCGCAAGGCUAAAACUCAAAGGAAUUGACGGGGGCCCGCACAAAGCGGCGGAGCAUGCGGAUUAAUUCGAUGCAACGCGAAGAACCUUACCAAGGCUUGACAUGUUCUCGAUCGCCGUAGAGAUACGGUUUCCCCUUUGGGGCGGGUUCACAGGUGGUGCAUGGUUGUCGUCAGCUCGUGUCGUGAGAUGUUGGGUUAAGUCCCGCAACGAGCGCAACCCUCGUUCCAUGUUGCCAGCACGUARUGGUGGGGACUCAUGGGAGACUGCCGGGGUCAACUCGGAGGAAGGUGAGGACGACGUCAAAUCAUCAUGCCCCUUAUGUCUUGGGCUUCACGCAUGCUACAAUGGCCGGUACAAUGGGUUGCGAUACUGUGAGGUGGAGCUAAUCCCAAAAAGCCGGUCUCAGUUCGGAUUGGGGUCUGCAACUCGACCCCAUGAAGUCGGAGUCGCUAGUAAUCGCAGAUCAGCAACGCUGCGGUGAAUACGUUCCCGGGCCUUGUACACACCGCCCGUCAAGUCACGAAAGUUGG
rnacentral:rRNA from 1 species